GAAUCAGGUAGGGAUACCCGCUGAACUUAAGCAUAUCAAUAAGCGGAGGAAAAGAAACCAACAGGGAUUGCCCUAGUAACGGCGAGUGAAGCGGCAACAGCUCAAAUUUGAAAUCUGGCUCUUUCAGAGUCCGAGUUGUAAUUUGCAGAGGGCGCUUUGGCGUUGGCAGCGGUCCAAGUUCUUUGGAACAGGACGUCACAGAGGGUGAGAAUCCCGUACGUGGUCGCUAUCCUUCGCCGUGUAAAGCCCCUUCGACGAGUCGAGUUGUUUGGGAAUGCAGCUCUAAAUGGGAGGUAAAUUUCUUCUAAAGCUAAAUACUGGCCAGAGACCGAUAGCGCACAAGUAGAGUGAUCGAAAGAUGAAAAGCACUUUGGAAAGAGAGUCAAACAGCACGUGAAAUUGUUGAAAGGGAAGCGCUUGCAGCCAGACUUGCCUGUAGUUGCUUAUCCGGACUUUUGUCCGGUGCACUCUUCUAUAGGCAGGCCAGCAUCAGUUUGGGCGGUUAGAUAAAGGUCCCUGUCAUGUACCUCUCUUCGGAGAGGCCUUAUAGGGGAGACGACAUGUAACCAGCCUGGACUGAGGUCCGCGCAUCUGCUAGGAUGCUGGCGUAAUGGCUGUAAGCGGCCCGUCUUGAAACACGGACCAAGGAGUCUAACAUCUAUGCGAGUGUUUGGGUGUCAAGCCCAGACGCGUAAUGAAAGUGAACGGAGGUAAGAACCCUUUGGGUGCAUUAUCGACCGAUCCUGAUGUCUUCGGAAGGAUUUGAGUAAGAGCAUGGCUGUUGGGACCCGAAAGAUGGUGAACUAUGCUUGAAUAGGGUGAAGCCAGAGGAAACUCUGGUGGAGGCUCGCAGCGGUCCUGACGUGCAAAUCGAUCGUCAAAUUUGGGCAUAGGGGCGAAAGACUAAUCGAACUAUCUAGUAGCUGGUUCCUGCCGAAGUUUCCCUCAGGA
rnacentral:rRNA from 1 species